UAGUGUUCGGGGGCAGUGCCCCCCAAAAUUU
rfam:Picea glauca, whole genome shotgun sequence.